CCGGUGGCAACAACGGGCCAGCGCGGUUGGGUUUCCUGGUCAGGGAACCGAAUGUUACGAAACCUGCUCUGGAUCACCCGGCGGAAGAACCAAGCAGCACUUGGGCAUCUUGGAAGGCAGGAGGUUUAUUUCACAUCGGUGGGUUCAGAGGAGAUUGUUCUCCAGAGGUCUGAGCCCGGAGCCCCGGAGCGCAAGCAUGGGGGACAAUUUAUAGUCUGUUACUUCCGCAUUAGUAGUAAUUUGGCGCGCAUGCGCAACAAGCAAGGUAGGAAGAAGAACCCGGAAGGGGAGUCUUCGGAUGGGGACUGGAAUUUCCCUACCAGUCCUGUCGGCCACUUCAUCAUUUUUCCCUACCAGACUGACUAGAAGACAGAGGCCACUGACAGAGAUUCUAAACCAGGGGCUGCAAACUCAGUACACCUAGGAUUUGUUUGGCUAGCAGAAUAUUUUUUAAAAAUGGAACCAGCAUUUACAAAUCGUGUGAUUUCUGAAAAUCCAGAUUUGGGUCUUCGCUGAGACACUGGAAGAUUUGACAGCAGUGGACCCACAGCAGCGAUUGGUUAGAGUGGGGCAGUCUCAGUGUGAAAAGUCUGAUUUGUGUAUGCCAGGUCUCAAGACGCUUGCCUGCAGAUGAGCUCUUUCAACUGUGCCAGUCUGUCACUUCUUAGUGCUUCCCGGAUGGAGUGGAAAAAACCAAAAUAG